CACCGCCCGUCAUACUAUAGGAGCUGGCCACGUUUGAAGUCAUUACCCUUAACAGUAAGGAGGGGAUGCCUAAGGUUAGGCUGGCAACUGGAGUGAAGUCUUAACAAUGUAGUCGUACUAGGUGGUGUAGCUA
rnacentral:ncRNA from 1 species